UACGUAGGGCGCAAGCGUUGUCCGGAAUUAUUGGGCGUAAAGGGCUCGUAGGCGGCCUGUUGCGUCCGCUGUGAAAACCCGGGGCUUAACCCCGGGCUUGCAGUGGAUACGGGCAGGCUGGAGGCAGGCAGGGGAGAACGGAAUUCCCGGUGUAGCGGUGAAAUGCGCAGAUAUCGGGAGGAACACCGGUGGCGAAGGCGGUUCUCUGGGCCUGUACUGACGCUGAGACGCGAAAGCGUGGGGAGCGAACAGG
rnacentral:rRNA from 1 species